rnacentral:lncRNA from 1 species
CUCAUUUUUAAAUAGAUUAACAAUCGUGUAUAUUUUUUUCAACUCGUCAUAAAAAUUCAUACAAUUCUUGAAAUAAAGUGAUAAAGAUCUGAAAUAAAGAGUCUAUUUACGAAUUAAUACCGUGUUCUUAUUAAUCGGAAACAUCUAACAUGAAUAGUUCGCCAUUGCAGUGCAUGAGACGCCCGUGGCGACUGAGACUUGCCUCUCGAGCGCAAACUCGUUAAUUUAUUUAACUUAUUCGCGAGAAAAUGUUGAUUUAUCGUGUAUUAAAAUCGUGUGGAAGAAAUUAUAGAAUAUUAUAGAAGAAAGAAGAAAAGUAAGAGGAAUCAAUUAACGCGUGAUACCAACUAGAACUACGGCACAGAACUUGGUUAACUCGAUUGUAACUGUACAGGCGAUUCAAUGGAUUUCGAUAUGUAAUUCUCAAAGAGCGUGAAUUACACGGAUUCAGGACGCGCUCACCUUUUUACCCCAUUACUGGGAUCACGGGGAUCAUUAGGAGAGGAUAAAAGGUGGAAAAAGUGGUAGAAUGGAUCGUUCGAGCGAGGUUACGAAUUAGAUUCGAAUUUCGAAUUUAUAGAAUUACGAGGAAGAGAAUGAAAGAAAUAAAAUUUCGGAUUAUCAACUAGAACGAAUGUCCAAAAAGGUUAAUCUCUUAAGAUAAUAAGCAACCAGGUAUAUUCAACGUCUGAACCUGUGAAUCGUGAAAGUGUUAAAAAAUUACAAAGAAGCUGGAAGAGGAUGGAAAAGUAGAAGGUGCAACAAAAUGGAGAAUUUCGAAUCAGGAAACGGACAAAAGGAAAGAAAAGAAAAGAAAAAAAAAUAAAGAGAUCGCGAAACGGUUAACGCUAUAUUAAUAGGCAAAUAUACCAGGAUGAAAAAGAUUGUAUGGAGAAAGGAAGGAUGGUCGGGGAACGGGAGGGCAAACAAAGAGAAAUCCCUCGAUAGUUCUCGAUUGAUAGAGUUCUCAAUAGUAUCAAUAAUGAAGGUAUACGAUUCAAUCAAACACUACGGCUUACACUUGGUAUCAGUAUGUAUACACAGAGCGGUGUGUAAUAGGGGUGCUUUAGUUAGCGGGUUGAAUGGUCGUCUCAAAUCCGCUCCUUUCUCCCCAAUGAUCGAAGAUCUAUCGAUCCAACCCCGGCCAUAUAGAAUUUGUCAAAUGUAAAGGUUGGAAUUAAACGGGUGAUUCGAAAUUCAAAUUGAAAAUUUAAUUACAUAUCCGACAUCAAUCGUAACAAUAAUUAAAUCUAGGACCGGCUCGAUUCCCAAUUUUUACUCAUUUCGUUGAUUCACGAGUUGAAUUUAAUUAAAAGCGCCCUAUCAAAAAUUGACGAUUGCCGAAAUUCGUUGCGUUGAAUUUGCUGCGCGCUAUUCUCCAACAUCUUGGAAAAAAUGUAACGCGUGUUUCUGUGAACGAGAGAAAUUUAAAAGAGAGAAAAAUUUUGCGCCAGAAAUUUUAAUUAAUCAGCGUAAUUAUCAAUUAGUUAUUAAUACUAAGAGCGAUGAAUUUUUUUUAAAAAACCAGUUGAUCCAGAGAAUUCUUUUAAGAUUUUCACAGACUGUGAAAAUGUCUUAUCCUUUUCCCUGACAUUUCUCUUCAUUUUCUUUCCUUUUUUUUCCCUCUCCAAGACAAUUUGAAAUAAUUGAAGUUCUAGGCAUCUUUCUACUUUUCAAAUAAAAAAGUUUACUCCGUUGUAGAGAUCUGCAAACGGUGCAAUUUGUUCGUCUUAAAAAAAAAAAAA